rnacentral:snRNA from 1 species
AUGCUCGCUUUGGCAACACAUAUACUAAAAUUAGAAUGAUACAGAGGAAAUUAGCAUGGCCUCUGUACAAGGAUGACAUGCAAAUUUGUGAAGCAUUCCAUAUAUUU